CUAUGGCAUCUGCUAUUCCAUGUGUUUUAUGUCAUUGACAAAUGGUGAAGAUUCUGUGUGCUAGUCUGAAUAGAAGCUCUUCAAAGGAAUAACCUGUCACAAGCUAGUCACUGGUGUUGACAAUACUAUUAUUAUCUAGAGACAAUGUGAGAUGAGUACAAUGGAAACUUCCUAGAGUGGAGAAAAUACGAGUGAAUUUUUUCAUCUACAAAUGUAAUGCAUGCUGCCCUGAGGUGGUAAGGACUGGAUAAACUGGUAAAUAUAACCAGGGGACAUAUGUGAGCAUUUCAACACCAGUAAGUUGGAUGGAUUUUCCUUUUCUUUUCUUGCUUUUCUUUUUCUUUUCCAGUGUUGAUGUAACAUAUAUAUAUUCACUAAAGAAAGCUAGGUUAGUUCUUCAGAAAGAAAAUGGUGUGGCAAAAGAAAGUCCUUCAAAGUCCUCAGGCUAAUCUUCUGUUUUGUGCUUUAAUGGAGGAUAUAAAGGAACAUGAACAAACACUAAGAGAAGAAUCACUUGGUUUUGUCCCUGAUGCCUUCAGUUUACUUAGCCUUUGGGAGACUGAUGCACAUCUCCUCAAAACUGGAGCACAAGUUUUGCUGACACGGGCCUGUCUGUGGGUGACCCUUCAUGGUCAACACUCUGGCAUCUUCCACUGCUGCUGCAGCCUGUGCAGCCAGGUGUUAGAGAAAGACCAUCAGGGAAGGACAUGACAAGUGGAAAACAGGGGAAGCAAUGAAAAAAACCCAGAGGAGAGUAAGUCUUGGUUCCUUACCAGGAAGUGAGCAGAGGAGUGAAGUAUAUCACCAAGUCUUUAAUACAACUCUUAGCAGGAGUGUAAUUGCUACUGUGAUAGUUUCAGGUUUUCACAUAUAUCUUGGUCCUUUCACACACUUUUGGAUAAUAAUGUUUUGCAAAGGCAUUAGAACUCUGGUUAAAAGGAUGCAUUUUCUGUCCUCAAUUUCAUUCCUUUCCCUCUGCCCCCUUUUGAAAUUACUAGACAGUGUGGUCAAAAACUCUGGUAUAUUUUAGAAAAUGAUGCACUAGCCAGAAAGCUCUCACAAACAAGUCACGAAUACCUGUCACCAGAAAAAAAAAGUAUAUAGCGUGUUGUGAUCAGAUGUAAUUUUUCUAUUGUUUAUCUGCAAUUUUUGUAAGAUUUCUACAAAAAUGAAAACUUAUGUAACAGUCUGGAUGGUAUGCAGAAAAAAUAGAUAUGUAAUUCUUAACUUCAGUUCAAGCAACUCCAUUUUUUUUACAGGAACAUCAGGUUCUAGUGGAAAAAUACAGGAAAGAUCUGUAUUAAGAAAUAAUUCAACAAGAAAAAUCUGAAUAAUGAAAGCAUUUGGGAAAAUCUGUGUGUGAAGACUGCACCUUCUGCAUAUCUGGGUACCGUUCUGAAUCCCACAGAUGUUUAAAAGGGAUUUAUAUACCUUGCAGCUCAGGACAGUCAGUUCUGAGUGAUCAGGAAAGCAGAACUGUCUGCAUAUCUGUGCCAAACCAAGCAGGGAGCUCCAACUGAACUCAAGGCAGGUUUUUGGUUGAUCCAGUGUCCUGGGGUGACGUUAUGAAGCCGCUUUAUUCCUUAACCGGCCGCUCAAGGCCCAAGGACGCUGUGCCUUUAAGAUGGACCCGGGGGCGGAGCCACGGGCCCGAGGGGGCGGAGCCACGGGCCCGAGGGGGCGGAGCCACGGCUCAGCCCAAGGGGCUCGGGAGGGCUCGGGAGGGAACGUGCCGGGAGUGCUGUGCUGCUUUCCUGGGAUUCCUCUGUGUUCCAGCUAGCUAGGAAAAG